GCCGGCUUAGCUCAGUGGUAGAGCAGCGCUUUUGUAAAGCGAAGGGCGACGGUUCAAAUCCGUCAGUCGGCU
rnacentral:tRNA from 3 species